CAAUAGCGUAUAUUAAAGUUGUUGCAGUUAGAACGCUCGUAGUCGGAUUUCGGGGCGGGCCGACCGGUCUGCCGAUGGGUACGCACUGGUCGGCGCGUCCUUCCUUCCGGAGACCGUGCCUACUCUUAACUGAGCGGGGGCGGGAGACGGAACGUUUACUUUGAAAAAAUCAGAGUGUUUCAAGCAGGCAGUGCGCUCUUGCAUGGAUUAGCAUGGGAUAAUGAAAUAGGACUUUGGUGCUAUUUUGCUGGUUUCGAACACCGAAGUAAUGAUUAAAAGGGACAGUCAGGGGCACUCGUAUUCCGCCGAGAGAGGUGAAAUUCUCAGACCAGCGGAAGACGAACCACUGCGAAAGCAUUUGCCAGGGAUGUUUUCUUUA
rnacentral:rRNA from 1 species